rnacentral:rRNA from 1 species
GUAGUCUCGCACAGAUGCAUAUCAAUAAGCGGAGGAAAAGAAACUAACAAGGAUUCCCCUAGUAACAGGCGAGUGAAGCGGGAAGAGCUCAAAUUUGAAAUCUUAAAGGGUUUCCCUUUACGAAUUGUAGUUUAAAGAAGUGUUUUCUGUUGAGGUUUUGGUAAAAGUUCUUUGGAAUAGGACAUCAUAGAGGGUGAGAAUCCCGUAUUUGACCUUUACUUUCAACUUUGUGAUACACUUUCAAAGAGUCGGAUUGUUUGGGAAUGCAGUCCAAAAUGGGUGGUAAAUUUCAUCUAAAGCUAAAUAUUGGCGAGAGACCGAUAGCGAACAAGUACCGUGAGGGAAAGAUGAAAAGAACUUUGAAAAGAGAGUUAAACAGUACGUGAAAUUGUCAAAAGGGAAGCGUUUGACACCAGUGUUGUUUUUCUGAAAAUCAAUUAAAGAACUGUUUAUGCUAAGUUGUUUAGACUUUAUCAGCUAAUCUGUUUAGUUUUGAGCUUUUCUUUAAUGCACUUUUCAGUUAACAGGUCAACAUCAAUUUCUUUUGCUGUAAAAAAGCUUGAGGAAGGUGGCUUGAGAUUCGUCUUAAGUGUUUAUAGCCUCUUGCCUAUGCAGUCGGAGAGAUUGAGGUCUGCAGCGUAGAUCCUUCGGGGCUAAAUGCAUUUGUGCUAAGUUAUAGCAUUUUAUAGACAACUUGUUGACUAUGAUUUGUCUUGUAGCUUACUCGCUUAUGUUAUUUUACCUACGCUUAGGAUGUUGACGCAUGAGAUAUACGC